rnacentral:rRNA from 1 species
CAUAAAAAUUUAUAAUAGAAUUUUAUUUUUUAGUCAAAAAGCUAAAAUAUAUUUAAAAGACGAGAAGACCCUAUAAAUCUUUAUAUUUAGAUUAUUAUAAUUUUAUAGAUUUUUUUUGUUAUAAUAAUUAAUGAUAUUUUAUUGGGGUGAUAUUAAAAUUUAAUAAACUUUUAAUUGUUAAAAUCAUUAAUUUAUGAAUAAUUGAUCCGUUAUUAGCGAUUAAAAAAAUAAGUUACUUUAGGGAUAACAG